rnacentral:rRNA from 1 species
UACGGAGGGUGCGAGCGUUGUCCGGAAUCACUGGGCGUAAAGGGCGCGUAGGCGGCAUGACAAGUCACUUGUGAAAUCUCCGGGCUUAACUCGGAACGGCCAAGUGAUACUGUCAAGCUAGAGUGCAGAAAGGGCAAUCGGAAUUCUUGGUGUAGCGGUGAAAUGCGCAGAUAUCAGGAGGAACACCGGUGGCGAAGGCGGCUUGCUGGGCCAGUUCUGACGCUGAGGAGCGAAAGCGUGGGGAGCGAACAGG